GGAAAAAGAUUAUCAAACAAAUUGCUGAGGAUAGCAAGUUUGUAUUAAGAAGAACGGAGAAUUUGAAUUUACGGAAGAAAAAAAAUUACAAGAAAAACAAAGAAUAGGGGUGUUGGCGCAUCAGCAUUGCAUGAUGGUACAAUUUACAAAGGUUGGAAGAAUGUUGGAUAGAUGUCCACAAUACGAACUCGUGUUUGCUGUGGUUGUUUUAACUGUGACGGCGUUUUAUUUACUUUAUUUGUCGACAAAGCCUGAGCUUCCAGAACACACGUAGCGGAAAGACGACGCAUGAAGAAAUAAAUUUAAUAAAUGUAAAGAACUGUACAUAAAUUAGGUAAAUAAAUAAAUAAUUAGAAGUA